rnacentral:rRNA from 1 species
AGAGGUUUGAUCCUGGCUCAGAACGAACGUUAGCGGUGUGGAUUAGGCAUGCAAGUCGUGCGCGAAAGCCUUCGGGCGAGUAAAGCGGCGAAAGGGUGAGUAACACGUAACUAACCUACCCCCCUGAUCGGGAUAACUUCGGGAAACUGGAGGUAAUACCGGAUAGUCCCUUAGAGAGGCAUCUCUCUUUGGGUAAACGAUGGCUUCGGCUGUUGUGGGGGGAGGGGGUUGCGGCCUAUCAGCUAGUUGGUGAGGUAAUGGCUUACCAAGGCAAUGACGGGUAGCCGGUCUGAGAGGAUGGUCGGUCACACUGGGACUGAGACACUGCCCAGACUCCUACGGGAGGCUGCAGUCGAGAAUCUUCCGCAAUGGGCGAAAGCCUGACGGAGCGACACCGCGUGUAGGAUGAAGGCUCUAGGGUUGUAAACUACUGUCACGCUAUAGGAAUUGCCUGUUUUUUAAGAGAUGCAGGUUUGACCAAAGCGAAAGGAAGCACCGGCUAACUCCGUGCCAGCAGCCGCGGUAAGACGGAGGGUGCGAACGUUGUUCGGAAUUAUUGGGCAUAAAGGGCACGCAGGCGGCCCAGUCAGUCAGUUGUGAAAUCCCGGGGCUCAACCCCGGAACUGCAUCUGAUACUGCUGGGCUAGAGAAUGGUUGGGGUGAGUGGAACUCCUGGUGGAGCGGUGAAAUGCGUAGAUA